rnacentral:rRNA from 1 species
UACGGUUACCUUGUUACGACUUCACCCCAGUCGCUGAUCCUACCGUGGCCGCCUGCCUCCCCGAAGGGUUAGCGCAGCGUCGUCAGGUAGAACCAACUCCCAUGGUGUGACGGGCGGUGUGUACAAGGCCCGGGAACGUAUUCACCGCAGCAUGCUGUUCUGCGAUUACUAGCGAUUCCGACUUCAUGCCGUCGAGUUGCAGACGACAAUCCGAACUGAGAUGGUUUUUGGGGAUUAACCCACUGUCACCACCAUUGUAGCACGUGUGUAGCCCAACCCGUAAGGGCCAUGAGGACUUGACGUCAUCCACACCUUCCUCCCGCUUAUCACGGGCAGUUUCCCUAGAGUGCCCAGCCGAACUGCUGGCAACUAAGGAUGUGGGUUGCGCUCGUUGCCGGACUUAACCGAACAUCUCACGACACGAGCUGACGACAGCCAUGCAGCACCUGUAUCCUAUCCAGCCGAACUGACGGAAUCCAUCUCUGGAAACCUCGAUAGGUAUGUCAAGGGUUGGUAAGGUUCUGCGCGUUGCGUCAAAUUAAACCACAUGCUCCACCGCUUGUGCGGGCCCCCGUCAAUUCCUUUGAGUUUUAAUCUUGCGACCGUACUCCCCAGGCGGAAUGCUUAAUCCUUUUGGUGUGGAACCCAAUAACAUGCUACCCGACGUCUGGAAUUCAUCGUUUACGGGGGGGGAUUACC